rnacentral:sRNA from 1 species
UUUUAUCUGUGAUGGCGCAUUAUUCUAGUCAAUUACAUUUAUUAUGAAGACGGGAUUAAACAACCGUACAUUAGCACAUCUGUGAAGCUUUUGGUGCUUGCUUCUUACGCCCAGUUUGGGGUGAGUGCUGGAAGAUUAGAGUGUUGGGAGAACGUAAUGGCAUACGAUUCCGACCCACCACUUGUGGAGACCUAUUAUUGUGUCUGGCCUAUACGAACAAUCUGACGGACUGGGUACGAAAUAGGAUUAAACCUAUUUGUGGCGAAAGUUAUGAAUAGUGUAGCUUGCCUUGAGUGGGUAAUGGGGAUUAGUGAUCAGCUUUUAUUACCUUAGCUAAGUAAUUUAGGUAUUGCACUAUGAAACAUUAUUUGCAAAAAAGACUAAUAAUAAAUGAUUGGUGAGGAAAGCUCCUAGAGUGUCGUUAGUAUGGGAUUACGGUACGUACUAAGUGGUAAUCAAGUCAUAUAUUUGGAAACGAUAUAUCAUUAUCUUUAAAGGGGAACCGCAAACUGGUAACGGGAUGUAGAUAAUGGGGAAAUCCAACUUGACCUAUGACGUAAAGUUAAUCAUAUUAAUAGCCAUAAAG